GAAUAGUUAAGACGGUUAGUCCUAAUGGAAGGAUAAGAGGAAACUCAACGUCGUAGGUUCGAAUCCUACACUAUUCC
rnacentral:tRNA from 1 species